UAAUGUCGAUAAACUAGUUAGCACAUCAAGUGAACUACAAAAAGUAAUAUUGUGCUAACAUAAGAAACACAUUCAGUUUAACACUUAAACCACUGUUGCGAUACUGCAAAAGAGCCUAAAACUACAAAAUAUCAAAGUUACGACCACAAUAGCAUGCUCAUGUCAUAACAUAUUACCAAAAAAAUAAGCACGUUCAAAAAAAGUCGUUCUAGUACUAAAAACUAGUCUAAAACAACCAAAGUCAAGAGUCACUAUGCAAUGAAUGGUCGUCCAAGUUGUCAUCAUAAUGAGGAUGUGAAGGAGGCUGGGUGGCACUACAUGAUCCGUUACCCGAACGACGGUCGCGCUCCAUAACAAAUUUUUUAAAUUCAGCUAUUACAAUCAUCAUUUGCUUGUUUAGGUCUAUAGUCACUUGAGAUUGAGCUAAUGCAUCAUUAGCCUACUUCUCAGCUAUAGCAGCCUUCUCGUCAGCUCUAACUCUAGCUGCCCUCUCCGCCUCCAAAGACAUCUCAUACAUGGAACCAUGAUGAUCUUGAGAUUUUUGAGUAAAUGACGUGCACCCACGCCGAAGGUUGACAGACAAGUCUGUUGUACCAUAAACUCGACCACGAGUACGACCCCCUGCAGACUCGAUCCACAACCUAAGCUUUGUUCCUCCAUCAACCUCUUGCACACCAUCUCCAGCUGUUUCAUCAAUCUGAGCUUGUAUUGUACUCAAUAAACAAGUCAAACAAACAAACAAAUAAACAAAGCAGCGUGAUAGUGUUAUUGUUCUUUGAUUUUAUUGUGUUAUUGUUCAUUUCAUUCCAUUAAAA
rnacentral:lncRNA from 1 species